rnacentral:miRNA from 1 species
AGGGGUGCUCUCUGUGCGUGAGGGACA